UCAUUUAGCAUUUCAUAUUACAUUUCAUCAUGUCAAUCAGAAUUAGAUCCGAAAAAAAAUAAAUAAAUAAAAAUAACGAAAAGAAAAAAAAUGAAAAAAAAAGGAAAAAAAAAACGAAAAAAGAAAAAUAAUUUUUUACAAAAAAAAUAAAUAAAUAAAAAUAAUAAUAAAAAAAUAAAUAAAAUAUAAUAAAAAAUUUUGGACUUGGAUCUCUCUCAUUUGAGCCCAAAAAACCAUGAAAUUC
rnacentral:lncRNA from 1 species